UUGCUUUGGCUGCACAUAUACUAAAAUUAGAACAAUAUAAAGAAUAUUAGCAUGGCCCCUGCACAAGAAUGACAUGCAAAUUAGUGAACUGUUCCAUUGUGUG
ensembl:snRNA Gm26255 U6 spliceosomal RNA